AAAAGAAGCAAUGCUCAACAUGCAAACAUAUUGAAGUUCUCUACUUGUUCAAUGUCUGCUAAUAUCCCAUUGCUGAAAAUAUAGCAUGAUCAAGACAAAAGUGAAGGGACAGAUGUGAGGAUGAUAACCAACAAUAAAACAGAAGCUUUGAGAUGUAAGAAGGAGGGAAACCAGUGGAGGAAAUCCCAGAUAAGAGAGGUGAACCAAAAGGUGAAAGAGGACACAGCUUAUUGGGGAAAAACCAAUCUGGUGUCAUUUUAAUCACUGUUUUAAUGAGAAGAUUGAGAACUGACCUAACCUUGGUUUUCUGAAUGAUGAUCCUGAUCUCUAUCAGUUUUGUUCCUCAUGACAAGGUGAAAUCAAAGGUCAAGAAGGACUUUAUUGGUACGGAGCUGUGCCGCCUUGGUGGACAGGAGUCAUAGGCAAACAAAAACUGAAGUAAAUCAAUGCCAGAAGAUCUGUCCUAUAAGAAAUGUGAAAAGGACUUCUUCAGCAACAGGAAGGGAUGCAAGUCAGAAACUUGGAUUUACAUUAAAAAAGGAAGAGCAUCAGAGAAGGAAAAGGUCUUAAGGUUGCUCCAUAUCUCCAUUUGUGUCUCUGCUCCAGAUGUAUGUUUUGUGGUUAUCAUCAGGGUGUUCCUUUGAAGUCCCAUGCCAGAAGUUUGUUUUUAAAAAAGAAGAAGAAAGAAAGACACUAUUCUCAUUGGAAACCCUGAUCUACAACCUUUGUUUUCCUAGCCUCCUGAAUCUGUCAAAAUUCUGCACAAGUAUUCCCGUUCUCAAAAGGUUAUCAGACCAAACCCCUACCAAUCAUUAUAAUAAGUGAAUCCUUAAGGAAAGUAUGGUCAAAUGAUAACUGAAUUAGAUGAAAAGAAACAGGAAUACCUUUAUAAACCUAGAUUCUUAACACUGUCUCCAAUCCAACAAUGACUUCUGCACUUGUGUAUAUGGUGGACUUCAAGGGACAAAAUCAGUAAGGAUGGUCAAAUAAACAAGAAUGAGUGGGAUUUAUCUCCCUCAUUUAAACUUGCAUCGAGUUACUGCUAUACUGUAGUUUUACAAAAAAUCUAUUAUAUGGACAAGAAUAUAGGUUAAAAAUAAUUUGGUGAGCUUCCCUGGUGGCACAGUGGUUAAGAAACCACUUGCCAAUGCAGGGGACAUGGGUUCGA